rnacentral:rRNA from 1 species
UAGGGAAUAUUGGACAAUGGGCGCAAGCCUGAUCCAGCCAUGCCGCGUGAGUGAAGAAGGCCCCCGGGUUGUAAAGCUCUUUUGUCCGGAAAGAAAAGCAUCGGGUUAAUACCCCGGUGUUCUGACGGUACCGGAAGAAUAAGCACCGGCUAACUUCGUGCCAGCAGCCGCGGUAAUACGAAGGGUGCAAGCGUUACUCGGAAUUACUGGGCGUAAAGCGUGCGUAGGUGGUUCGUUAAGUCUGAUGUGAAAGCCCUGGGCUCAACCUGGGGAUGGCAGUAGAAACUGGCGGACUGGAGUGCGGUAGAGNGUAGCGGAAUUCCCGGUGUAGCAGUGAAAUGCGUAGAGGUCGGGAGGAACAUCCGUGGCGAAGGCGGCUACCUGGACCAGCACUGACACUGAGGCACGAAAGCGUGGGGAGCAAAC